AGGAGUCAUAAACGGAGGAACACGAGCUUUACGCACGCACGCACACACAGACAGGCCGACCCCGUCUUUGGACUGAACUUAAUGACCUCAGACCUGCCAGAUGUGUGAGGAGGGCGGGAAGUAUCAGGCCAGCUGCUGCGCGUCACCUGCUCUUCGUUUAUUCGAAUUAUUGUAUAAAAUGAUGACGACACUUAAUGCGCAUUCAGCUGACAUGAAGUGCGUAAAUGGGAAUCCAGCUACAUUCAAAGGAACUCUAGAUGAUAAUGGAGAGCAGGCGGAGCCAGGACGAAGGCGUCCAGAAGGAAACUGUUCCAGAUGGAGCGCAGCCCCGCUGAGGUCAGCAUGCGGCGCCACUCUCCGGAUCCGGCAGACCUGGAGCAGCUCAGCAGCGACACGACGCGCUUCACAAGAACCACGGAGUCGUACAGGGCGAGAAAUAGACAGUUCGAAAAGAAACCAGGCUGAAGAGGCUAAACAUGGACUCCAGGACUGAAGUUUCUACAGGUGCACCUGAGAAUACCCUGUAUCAAUGCCUGUAAGGCAUUACAGAAGGUGUUGAUGGUCCCACAGCACCAGGAUCAGGAGUUACUUCAACCCAAAGGCCAUAACUCAGCUACUGUUUAAUGUUACUACUGCAUAUACAGUAUACAUCUCAUUCAUGACUC